rnacentral:rRNA from 1 species
UACGUAGGGGGCUAGCGUUGUCCGGAAUCAUUGGGCGUAAAGCGCGUGUAGGCGGUCCGGUAAGUCCGCUGUGAAAGUCGGGGGCUCAACCCUCGGAUGCCGGUGGAUACUGUCGGGCUUGAGUACGGAAGAGGCGAGUGGAAUUCCUGGUGUAGCGGUGAAAUGCGCAGAUAUCAGGAGGAACACCAAUUGCGAAGGCAGCUCGCUGGGACGUUACUGACGCUGAGACGCGAAAGCGUGGGGAGCGAACAGG